GUCACCAAGCCAAUGACCAAAGAGGAGGGUGAUGCCAUAGAUGUGGAAACUUAUGUUCCCAAAGGUUUGCCUAAACCUAAGCAAAGGAAGCCAAGAGCCAAACGAAUGAAGAUAAAGGAUGAGGUUCAAGAUGAUGCACAACCCUCGGGAGUACCACCUACAGUUGAGCCACUCUCCCAAGGUGUUAGCAAGACAGAAAGCACAGAAUUUGACAUAUGCCACCAAAUCCCCAUUUAUGUGAGUAUCGCAGGUUGUUACAUGACCACACUGAUGAGGAUUUGAAGAUGGUACUGACUGUUGUAGCGGAAGAGGGAGCCACUUGGAAGGCUCCACCAAAAGCGCAGUCCGCUCAAAUUUCAAACCAAGCUUUUGAAGAAGAAUGCGGCCGUGUGAAUCAUUUCUGAAAUAUUCAUUUCGCCCUACCACAUACGACUCAAGCACAUCAUUGGACCGCAUGCUUUUACUUUACUGUAUUCUUGCAGGUAAGGCGGUUGAUGUUGGGGGUCAUCUCAGAUGUCAUUCAAGGAUACACCAGGAAACCCACCGGACGGCUCUACUUCCCGGCAUUGAUACAUGGAUUAAUCAAGAAGGCGAAAGUACCAGUACCACCUGGCAAGGCACUUACAACCAAUGCACUACCCAUCGAGUGCAAAACAAUUGAUCGGAUCCUUAAAACCCCAAGAAAUGAACCCGGACAGCCCUCACUUGCUCCUGACAACAUCCACAAGGAGAUUGAUUUGAUGCUUGAAUUCCGUAGAUUGAAGGAGAAAGUCACCGCAUUAGAGACCACCUUGGAACAGAACGCCCAGACCCAUCACACCACCAUGGAGAGAGCACUGAAAGCCCAUGAAGAGACACUAUUGAAGAAGAUGGAGGAGAGAGAUGCACGGCUCAUGGCCGACUUGAAGGACAUGCUUGCCGGGAUGUCUCGGCGCCCCGAGGACCAUUGAUGGCACAUACUCCACACGAGUAAGCAGCCUUGUUUCUAGGUACUUGGCUGAAGCAUGCUACAGUAUAUGUUGCAGGACGAUCUAGGGGCAUUCUUGAGAAUAGUAUGAAAUCUUUUGAGGUCACUUCUUCCCUUUUUAGUAGCCCAUCUUCUGCAGCUUUCAAGAUCUCAUAGAACUAAUUCAAGAUCUAAUUUUUGGCAUCUUCUAGGUGGUUUUGGCUUUGCCCAUUGUUUUGUGUAAAAGGGUGGGUAAAAGCUUUUACUUAUUGGAUUUUAUCCUCCCUUCCUCCACUAUAUAAAGGGAGGAGGCUUGGCUUUAGAGGAAAGCAAUUUGGAUGCAACAAUCCUAGUAAAACACUUGAUAUAGUUUGGUUCUUUUGGUAUAAAGUUGUAGUUGCAAGUAUUCUUCUUCUUUAUAAU